GGGUUGUGAGGUUAAGCGACUAAGCGUACACGGUGGAUGCCCUGGCAGUCAGAGGCGAUGAAGGACGUGCUAAUCUGCGAUAAGCGUCGGUAAGGUGAUAUGAACCGUUAUAACCGGCGAUUUCCGAAUGGGGAAACCCAGUGUGAUUCGUCACACUAUCAUUAACUGAAUCCAUAGGUUAAUGAGGCGAACCGGGGGAACUGAAACAUCUAAGUACCCCGAGGAAAAGAAAUCAACCGAGAUUCCCCCAGUAGCGGCGAGCGAACGGGGAGGAGCCCAGAGCCUGAAUCAGUGUGUGUGUUAGUGGAAGCGUCUGGAAAGGCGCGCGAUACAGGGUGACAGCCCCGUACACAAAAAUGCACAUACUGUGAGCUCGAUGAGUAGGGCGGGACACGUGGUAUCCUGUCUGAAUAUGGGGGGACCAUCCUCCAAGGCUAAAUACUCCUGACUGACCGAUAGUGAACCAGUACCGUGAGGGAAAGGCGAAAAGAACCCCGGCGAGGGGAGUGAAAAAGAACCUGAAACCGUGUACGUACAAGCAGUGGGAGCCUCUUUAUGGGGUGACUGCGUACCUUUUGUAUAAUGGGUCAGCGACUUAUAUUCUGUAGCAAGGUUAACCGAAUAGGGGAGCCGAAGGGAAACCGAGUCUUAACUGGGCGUUAAGUUGCAGGGUAUAGACCCGAAACCCGGUGAUCUAGCCAUGGGCAGGUUGAAGGUUGGGUAACACUAACUGGAGGACCGAACCGACUAAUGUUGAAAAAUUAGCGGAUGACUUGUGGCUGGGGGUGAAAGGCCAAUCAAACCGGGAGAUAGCUGGUUCUCCCCGAAAGCUAUUUAGGUAGCGCCUCGUGAAUUCAUCUCCGGGGGUAGAGCACUGUUUCGGCAAGGGGGUCAUCCCGACUUACCAACCCGAUGCAAACUGCGAAUACCGGAGAAUGUUAUCACGGGAGACACACGGCGGGUGCUAACGUCCGUCGUGAAGAGGGAAACAACCCAGACCGCCAGCUAAGGUCCCAAAGUCAUGGUUAAGUGGGAAACGAUGUGGGAAGGCCCAGACAGCCAGGAUGUUGGCUUAGAAGCAGCCAUCAUUUAAAGAAAGCGUAAUAGCUCACUGGUCGAGUCGGCCUGCGCGGAAGAUGUAACGGGGCUAAACCAUGCACCGAAGCUGCGGCAGCGACACUAUGUGUUGUUGGGUAGGGGAGCGUUCUGUAAGCCUGUGAAGGUGGCCUGUGAGGGUUGCUGGAGGUAUCAGAAGUGCGAAUGCUGACAUAAGUAACGAUAAAGCGGGUGAAAAGCCCGCUCGCCGGAAGACCAAGGGUUCCUGUCCAACGUUAAUCGGGGCAGGGUGAGUCGACCCCUAAGGCGAGGCCGAAAGGCGUAGUCGAUGGGAAACAGGUUAAUAUUCCUGUACUUGGUGUUACUGCGAAGGGGGGACGGAGAAGGCUAUGUUGGCCGGGCGACGGUUGUCCCGGUUUAAGCGUGUAGGCUGGUUUUCCAGGCAAAUCCGGAAAAUCAAGGCUGAGGCGUGAUGACGAGGCACUACGGUGCUGAAGCAACAAAUGCCCUGCUUCCAGGAAAAGCCUCUAAGCAUCAGGUAACAUCAAAUCGUACCCCAAACCGACACAGGUGGUCAGGUAGAGAAUACCAAGGCGCUUGAGAGAACUCGGGUGAAGGAACUAGGCAAAAUGGUGCCGUAACUUCGGGAGAAGGCACGCUGAUAUGUAGGUGAAGCGACUUGCUCGUGGAGCUGAAAUCAGUCGAAGAUACCAGCUGGCUGCAACUGUUUAUUAAAAACACAGCACUGUGCAAACACGAAAGUGGACGUAUACGGUGUGACGCCUGCCCGGUGCCGGAA
rnacentral:rRNA from 1 species